CUACCGUUUUUCUUUUGCGAGACCCUUCCUCUUCUUACCUUCGUUCUUCAUCCUUUUCAAAAUCGAUCAAUCCUCUUCCCACACCUAAUGCUCUUUAAUCAUGGAGUUAAUGGUGUCUCUUCGGUUUCUCCUUCCGAUUUCUAAAGAUCUUUUGCGUUUGCUUCAUCUAGGAUCCUUUAUAAAUAGCACCUUUGGGAUUUUAUAUUUCAGAGGGUUUUCCCUCUUGACCCAUACUCAAAAGAGAAGCUAAAAAAACCCUGAUGGUUGCACAUUCAUCAACGGCUCCGGCUAUUCUAUUCUCUUCUUCAACGACAUUCUUCCCUGAGGCGAGCUGAAGAAGACCGAAUCUGAAAGGCUCCUAAUUGGUCUUGAGAUGAUGUUGAUGAGAAGAGGAAGAGAGAAGCUGAUGCUGCUGAUUCAUAGAAAAGAAGGAGAUCAGCUUCAGCGCCCUCAGCUUGUGAGUUAGAAGCUGCUAUGGACUUUGUACCUCAUGAGAGCUGCAUUCUUCACCAUGUACACAAGAAUUCCUUUUUUCAUGGGUUUAUCCCUGCUGCUCAUGCCAUCAGUACGGUGCUUCUCUACGAACCGGUAAGAUCAUCAAAGUUGAUCGGUUUGACGUCGAGCGAUGCACAAAUAUAUACAAGAUUACGGAUCAUCCUUUUGUUAUCUGUUUCAUCCCCCCACCACUGUUCAUGAAGUCCUUACCGCUGCCCCUGUCAUUUACCUUCAGAAGUUCAUGCUGAGAGAGCUCGACCACCUCUAAGAUGUUGUAUGCCAAAUAAGGUGUCCAAGGUUCCGCUCUUUACAACGUCACCGCAACUAAUCGAUCUAUGGUAACCUCCAUCUGAACUCCUCUCAGGACCAAGUUCUACAUUGACACCACCAUCCCCGCCAUUGAAACAACACCUAGCUUGGGUGCAGCGAGAGAGGUUCUUACACGUGUUGAAACCUUGGGGCAUUGAAAAGAAAGAACUUGUGACAAUUGGUGAUCCUCAUACCUAUCUGUAUAGAUCCAGCGACCAGUGUGAGAAUUGUAGCUCAAAUGGAAAGCAAGGAAGAUGUGGAGAUGGCUUGGGGGAUGUGUAAUAACCAACCUUUUCUAUGGGUCGUUCCACCAGGCUCUAUCCUUGGAUCAGCCGGGAUAGAGACAUUGCCAAAUGAAGUCAGUACAAUUGUCUCAGAAAGAUGAUAUAUUGUGAAAUGUGCACAGAAAAUAGAAGUACUAAGACAUCCUGCAGUGGGAGGCUUCUGGAGCAAUGUGAAAGGAGUUCCACUGAUUUGUAUACCUUUCCAAAGCGAGCAGAAGGUAAACCCAGCAUACAUAGUACGUGUUUGGGAAAUAGGGAGUCAGCUGGAAAGUGAAGUAGAAAGAGGAAAGGUCGAGAGAGCUGUUUAGAGGUUGAUUAAUAAAUAAGGUGCAGAAGCGAAGAAAGCCUCUUUGACAAGUGGAGGCUCCUCAUACAAUGUAUGCUGAACUUAAUGUAUUUAUUACUAAAGACCCAUUGAUCAUAUUGAAUUAUAUGGAUCAACUUGGUAUUGUAAAUCCUGUGAGCACAAUUUUUUUUUUUUUGAAAUAAAAACCAGUUGAAAUAUG